UACGUAGGGUGCAAGCGUUAAUCGGAAUUACUGGGCGUAAAGCGUGCGCAGGCGGUUAUGCAAGGCAGAUGUGAAAUCCCCGGGCUUAACCUGGGAACCGCAUUUGUGACUGCAUAGCUGGAGUACGGCAGAGGGGGAUGGAAUUCCGCGUGUAGCAGUGAAAUGCGUAGAUAUGCGGAGGAACACCGAUGGCGAAGGCAAUCCCCUGGGCCUGCACUGACGCUCAUGCACGAAAGCGUGGGGAGCAAACAGG
rnacentral:rRNA from 1 species